AGCGACUCCCUCCCCUCUCUCUCGUUUCUAUUUUCUCCCUCGCGCUCGCGCCGCCAUCGUCGCCUCAUCGCCCAGCCCAGCGCCGAUUCCCUCGCCGCCACCACUCCGAGCGCGGGCACCGCCACCUCAUCUCCCAGUGCCGCCACCACCAUAGCCCCCUCCCCUAGAUCCCAAGGGGGGCGGGGUGAGCACCGUCGACCCCAUCGCUGGUCCUCUGCCCCUGCAAGUCCGCUCACCUCAGCCUCCUCCUAUGUCGUCGGCGGCACAGCAGAGGUGGUCGAGCCGUUGAGGAGAGAAGCGGUGGGAUCUUCCAUUCGCAACGCCUCCGUGCUAUCCCGCAUCGCCUCACCAACCACCAUCAACAAUAACGUAGGGAUCUAUGACGGGGAAGACCAAAGAGUUGCAGACCGCCAAGGGGGAGGGGCCCAAGGACAGGCCUGAGCUGGUGGUGGCGAUGACGAUGACAACGGAGGCAAAGGUGCAGGCGAAGGAGGAGGACGGAAGUGUUGUGGACAAGGACACCAUGGCCGCCGUUGCCAAAAUGUCUGCAUCUUCAUCCACUGCCUCUCUGCCAUAAAUAAUUAGCUGUGGAGGUUCGUUAUUCAAUUUGGUUAUAGCUCAUGCUGCAGGCCAGGAGCAAAUGGUUGUUUAUGAAAGGUUUGAUUGCAGGAUUCUUGCUGGAGGAGAUGAACUUUUAUGAGGAGUUGUUGAAGACCAAAGUUUUCCUUGUAAGAAUGCCAUACUUACAAGAAAAGAUUGCCUGAAAGGUCUUUAUGGUUUAAUCUGCAAGGUUAGAGGGCCCGUCGAGGCUAGCGCGAGGUCUGCUCUGGCAUCCAUGAUGUGGGUGUGAUGACUGAGGACUGCUCACGCUUCUCCGCUCACAAACCGUGUGGCGAGUAAAUACUCCACUCCACGACAAUUAGACCUUCCUCCCUCUCAGCUAUGGUUCCACAAAGUGCCCAGACAGCAGGAAGCACACAUAGAACCAUCAAUGCUCCUUUCCGUAGGAGAAAUAGCUGAACGGGCAAUGUUUUCAUCUCUGUAUAAGUUCAGAUGUGAUUACCCAGGUCCAGAAGGUUUGGUCUACUUCUCACUUAAUCCUAUAUUUUCUUGACGUGCACAUAAAUACGUUGAGAAGUUGCAACUAGAAUAAAGCUUCCGCCCGACUGCAGGUUAGUAUAUGCAUUAUAUGUUCUAAGGAAUUCCGCUUUCUCAUUGCAACAGCCAGAAGUACAAAAUCUACUGAAGUUUGAAUAUUAAUCCAGCUUAUUACUUGGGGCCUCUGAUAUAUGCAUCAAAAUCAUAGAUUUUUAUUAUUGCAAAUUGUUGGUAACUACUGAUCAUCUUUAUUGUUUUUUAUUCAUACAGUUCACGGGGCAAUGAGUAUGAGAUCAGUUCGUGGGUGUCAGUCAAUAUAAGAUUGGUCUGCAACUAUUUUUCAUCUGAAAAGAUAUACUUUGCAGCAUCAUGUAUGAUAUGUAUAUGCUUGGUUCAGUGUUAUUCAUAGCUAUGUUACUGUGUCUACGUGCUUCCUUCAUAUAUUUUGGCUCACCUCGGCUUCCUCCUGCGUCGGCAACGGCGCAGCAGAGGCAGACGAGCUGACGAGGUGAGCAACGGUGGGAAACUGUAUGGUGUGUCCUCUUCUUUCUCUCUUCUUCCUCGACAAUGCCUCCGUGCUUUCCUGUGUCGCCUCACCAGCCACCGCCAACAUCGGCGUAGGGAUCUAUGGCGGGCAAGACCAAAGCGCUUCAUCCGACCGAGGGGGGCCCAAGGCGAAGCCUACACUAGCAGCGGCAAUGACGGAGCCAGAGGUGAAGGAAAUCCCUAAGGCCAUCGUGCGGCAGCUGGUCAAGGACAAGCUCGCCUGAGCGCCAUGGCCGGAGCUGUCGAAGGAGGAGGGUGGAGGUGUGGUGGACAAGGCCGCCUUUGCCACAAUGCAAACAUCUUCAUCCACUGCCUCUCUGCCAUGUAUGUGCCUCCUGCAGUGGCUCGAUUAAUGCGUCCGGUAGUGUGGCGUUGGCUGGGAACCGUACGGUAUUUGUCUGACGUGCCGUCCACACCGGGGGGGUUGGUCAGUCGACUCCAGGUAUGAGCAGCUCCGAGCUUGAUGGCUGGAUGUGUGCACACAUGUAAUGGGGUAACAUGGUCAUGUUGCUUGGUGUGCAGAGGCAACCUCAUUUUUGGACCAAUAAGAGGGGCGAUGAUGACGACGACUAGAUGAAACAAUCAUGUCUUGGGCAAUCAAGACAGCCUUGGCUUGUGGGACUAAACAGAGCUGAAAUAGUCGGUGUCAGUGUUGGAGUUGCCCUUAGAGCCUACCCUUACCUCUGUUGUAGCCUGCUCAAUUUUG